UUCAAUUCCGUCAAUGUUGGCCUUAAUCCUGGAAUAGAACUUGAAGAUUUGGACGAUGGAUGGUGAGAAGUCAACCAAUCUCUUCGAUUAACGGGUGAUGAAACGUCAGAUUAACCUUAUCCUCCAACUGGGCCCAGCGACGGAUUGUUUUGUGGCAUGUGUCCCGCUCGACGGUAGAGGAAACGACGAGAGCAAAAAUGCCAGCGAUAGCGACGGUAAGAGCGGAGAGAGUGGUAACAACGGGGAUGGUUCACCAACUCAAUCAUUCCUCCUUGGCCUUGAUCUCCUUUUUCCAUCGGCGGUUUUCUGUGAAAGUCACUCCAGAAAAUUCUACCCUUGUUGAAUCGGCUUCUAAUCCAUGUCUGGAUUUGGAUCUAGAUACGGAUCUGGAUUCAGAACGCAUAUCUGGAUUCGGAUUUGAAACUGUAUUCGUUCUUGGAUGUGGACUUUUACGUACCUGAACCAGGGAGCAUAGAAUUUACUAUUACUAUUAUAUACUAUUUACUUCGCCCGGCCAGCAGGCGGGCAGCGUGCUUAUCUUGUGUGUGUGACAACACUACAGAGCAAGUGGCUCUUCUAGGCGGGCAGCUGUGUGACAAUACUAGGGAGAAAGCAGCGCUUUCCUGUAACAUGCUAUGGUCUCAACGCACUUACGAGGUAGUGAUGAGUUUCACUUCUCGACACUGUCAUUUCAAAUUCCUAUACUCUUUCCAAGACCAGAAUCCGAGUCCUUUUGAAAGGUUCUCUUCAGCGAUCUUUUCAGUAUGUCUUCUUGUAAUUCAUCAUCUUCUCCAUCGUCUGCAUAUUUUUGUUUAUAGACCUAAAUUUCGCCCACACGUAUUCCAAAUCUUCACAGCUCUUCAAAU